UGGGUGAUCAUGCAAGGUCAGCUUCAAGGGAUAGUUCACCUUCAGUUGCUGGUCCCCAUAGUGGUUCUUUUUUCAGUACUAUGCAAGUCAAUGGGGACCAGCAACUGAAGGUGAACUAUCCCUUUAAGAAUCAGAUUAAUAUUCAUCACGAGUUAAGCUUUCGUUAGUUGUGAGGAGGGAACUGCCAGUGUAUAGAAACCAGCUGGUGAAACGAAACUGAAAGUGUAGCGAACGCAAUAAGAGGCAGAAAGGAGGGGAACUGCGACACAUAGUUCGGUUUGCUGACUGAAGUGAAGACUAUUCAGGGAGAGCGACUCUCCAAAACAUGUAUCUGUCAUCUCUUUACAAUGCCAAGGAUCAAUUCAGGAAGCCAUAAGCUGUGAGAAGUUAAACAAUGACAAGGAAGAGAAAGAGUGGAGAGAAAGGAAAGGCAGGUGCACAGAAGAAAGGGGCCCAAAAAAGAGAUGGUAGCACAUCUUCAUCCAGAACACGUUCACAGAACCAAACAAAAGGCAAGCAAUCUAGUCACCCAAGCCCGGCCAGAUCCAGAUCAAGAGGCCAUGGACACAACAGCACAGGUGCAGCAGAGCCUGAACCGCUGAGUAAAGAUGCUCAGACUCAAACAAGCUCAAGUACGUUUGAAAACAAGGAGACUCAGACAGAGACUGUCAGUCAAGAAACACAGCAGAAGCAAACAGAGCUCAAUGGCAACACAGAGACCACAGAAGUGUCACGGCCAACAGAACUCAGUCCUGAAGAUGUUAAGACGGAGGUGGAAACUGGACCUGUCAAGGAACAAAGGAAUGAAAGUGAUGGAGAAAAGAAGAAAACAAGAAUGGAGACAAUCAGAAAGACAAAGGAUAGCAGAUAAAAAAAUAGUUACAGAAAGAGAUUCACAAAAAGACACUAAAUUCAAGUCAGAAACACAAGACCAAAAAUCUUAUGCUGCAGCAGCUGCUGCUACAGAAAAGACUGAACUGUCUAAGGAGCAGAAGAAUCAGACAGCAGCAGAUCAGGACAAUAGUAAAAGAAGAAAAUCUUCCCCAGCGAGGGCUCCAAGCAAACAGCCGAUGUUCACUUUCUACAUUUAUGCUGUUCUGGACAAAAAAUUCCGAUUUAACACACAGCGUGACUCUCUUUUGCUUCUUCAUGGGAAUGAAGUCUUUCAACUAGAGAUUAAAUAUUUUUUGGGUCUAAAACAGGAAGGCUAUUUGAUUGAAGCAACAUUUUCCCUCUGGCAAGGCAUUGAUAGGGGUGUUCCAAUAGAAUACACAUAUGCAGUGCAGAAACAAAAUGGCCGCAUUAUGGAAACAGCGUUAAGAUGUGUUUACACCCCCACUGACAAUACAGUAAAAGAACUGCACCUUUAUGAAGGUUACAUAAGUUCAAGUUCAAGAUCUGUUAAAGAAAGGGCGAUGAAUUGGUUCUUUCGGAAUGCACAAGAAGAAAUUUGCAAAUGCUGGGAGACCUCUGCCAGUGUACUGCUGGACAGAGUGUUUAAGAAAUGGGGUUCAUUUAAUGAUGAAGACAACAAGACACUUAUCGAACACCUAAACAGUUACAAACAAUGUUUUCAGUCAGUCAUGAGACGUUUGAGAUUUCAAGAAAAUCUCUCCCCUUCUCAAAUAGAAGUCUCAGAACUGAUUUCUAGUAAACUGAGUUGGAUUUUGAAAGGAGAAUCUGGAGGGAAAACUUCAGAGAGCUUGUCUGGGAUCAAAUCAUUGGAAGUGGCCCUCUCAGUGUUCCAGGUGUGCUGCGGCUGUGGUGUGGAUCUUGGCCCAAAGGACUGGGGCAAACUCUGCCAAGUAGUCUCUGAAAGGAUGGCCCAAAGGACUGGGGCAAACUCUGCCAAGUAGUCUCUGAAAGGAUGGAAACAACCCUAACAACCCUACCUUUAACUGACUUCACUGUGGUGGGACUGAUGAAUCGAUGUGCAAGGAAGCUGAUCUCAGAAGUGGUGUUACUUGUUCCUGUCCUUCAUUUACUGAGAAAACCAGAGGCAAAGUCAGAUCCAGGCUCAGCUAUGAACGAACAGAAAUGGGCAGGACUGGAAAAGAUAGAGUAUCUUUCUUUUAGGGAGAGCAUUAGACGACUCCCUGACAAAAGGAGGUUUGUCCAAAUACUUUCAGAGGAGUUUUAAUUCUCAAAAUUUUAUAACUUGAAUAUAAAUAUGAGACAUAUUACAUGUGUUGUUCCUUAAAAUUGUAGGAUGGUCCUUGAGCUGAUCAAAGAUCACUCAUCAAUGAACAAGGAUAAUCCUUACUUGUUGAAAAGCUGGCUUUCCAUUGUGGCAUUUGAGGAUGUCCCUGAGUUUGUCCAGUUGACAGGAAUUGAUCCUGAACUCCUGAUCCAGAGCCUGAUGUAUAGAAUGAAGGAGACUGAACAAAACAGUAAUUCCAACCGUACAGAGAAAAACCUGGAGGUAUCUGAUUAAAGGCAUAUAGCUCACUUUCCAGGUUUUGCAUUUGGCACAGAGAGAACAUUUUCAUACAAACAAAUGUUUGCUUUUUAAAUUGCAGGCAGCUGAAAAGGUUCUGAACCUCUUGUUGAAGAGGGUUGAGGAGGACAGAGAACGGUACACAAGUUUAUUAAAUGUGGUAUUUUUUGAACUUAGUAAUCUUGUUCUUAAAAUUUUGAUAUUAGGCAGGUAUUAAUGCCGAAUUUCUUUAAUAACAGAAUCACAGAGUCCAAGUCAUCUGGCUUAAUCCUUCAGUGUUGCAGAGAUGUUCACAAGAGCGCUUGCAAAACUGCUCGACUUGUCCCACAAUACAGAGUCCCAGUGCUCUCGGUCCAACUCCUACUUAAAAUGGCUGAAAUUCUUCAUGAUCAUUUUUCAAAGGUACUGUAUCAUUGAGAUCUUCUUGAAAGUAAUUUUAAGGGUGGUAUUGUGUCUAGGUAAGCAAAUUAUUUA
rnacentral:lncRNA from 1 species